CGUCUAUAUACGUAUAGCAUAUCAAUAAGCGGAGGAAAAGAAACUAACAAGGAUUCCCUAGUAACGGCAAGUGAAGCGGGAAGAGCUCAAAUUUGAAAUCUUCAAGGUUCUACCUUGACGAAUUGUAGUUUAUAAGAAGUGUUUUCUGUUAGUGGAGUCUGGCUAAAAGUUCUUUGGAAUAGGACAUCAUAGAGGGUGAGAAUCCCGUAUUUGAUCAUUCCUUCCUAGCUUUGUGAUACACUUUCAACGAGUCGGAUUGUUUGGGAAUGCAGUCCAAAAUGGGUGGUAAAUUUCAUCUAAAGCUAAAUAUUGGCGAGAGACCGAUAGCGAACAAGUACCUGUGAGGGAAAGAUGAAAAGAACUUUGAAAAGAGAGUUAAACAGUACGUGAAAUUGUCAAAAGGGAAGCGUUUGACACCAGUGUUGUUUUUCCGAAAAUCAAUUACGAAUGUUUUGUUUUUGAGGAGUUAUGACUUCAUCGGCUUGCUCCUUUCUUUACUGAAACUUUCUUAAUGCACUUUUCGGUUAACAAGUCAACAUCAAUUUCUUUUGUUGUAAAAGGGUAUGAGGAAGGUGGCUUUCUUUUCGGAGAAAGUGUUUAUAGCCUUGUGCCUCUGCAAUCGGAGAGAUUGAGGUCUGCAGCGUAGAUCCUUCGGGGUUAGAUACAUUUGUGCUAAGUUAUAGCUUUUCAUAGACAACUUGUUGACUAUGUUUAGUCAUUGUAGGCUUACUCGCUGACUGCUAUUUUACCUACGCUUAGGAUGUUGACUGAUAUGUAGUCGUA
rnacentral:rRNA from 1 species